rnacentral:rRNA from 1 species
UACGUAGGUGGCAAGCGUUGUCCGGAAUUAUUGGGCGUAAAGCGCGCGCAGGCGGUCUUUUAAGUCUGAUGUGAAAGCCCACGGCUCAACCGUGGAGGGUCAUUGAAAACUGGGAGACUUGAGUGCAGAAGAGAAGAGUGGAAUUCCACGUGUAGCGGUGAAAUGCGUAGAGAUGUGGAGGAACACCAGUGGCGAAGGCGACUCUUUGGUCUGUAACUGACGCUGAGGCGCGAAAGCGUGGGGAGCAAACAGG